rnacentral:lncRNA from 1 species
UCUGGUCAAGAUCUGAUAUAAUUCUGACACUGAUCUCGGCAAUUGCAAUCACUGACUACUGUUCUGACCUUGGCCUGAUCUUUCUCUCCCUGACUUCAUCUCAGCAAUUGAAAUUCUGCACUCUCUGCUAUGCACCGCUUAAGAAAGAACCAUCUGAAAGCUCUGCCAACUUGGAACAUCUAUUUUAGAUUGAAAUACAAUUUAUCCUCGGCACUCCAUGCCGGUGAUUUAUAUGAUAUACACACACUUCGGUAUACCUAUUCCAAUCUAGAUCUUUUCGCGCAUUAAGGUGAGUUGACUCUGAUCACCUGUCGACUACAACCUCAUAAGGAAUCAAUGCUCUUCUUGACUCCUUAAUAACCUGUCAUAACAUUCCAUCAUGUUAUACUUUCAUUCCCACACAAACCUCUCUCCAGUACUUGAAAAAGCUUUCCUAGCUUACAUUACCAAAUUCUCACUUACUGGCGCAUCCAACACUUACAACUUGUUCGGCGAUAUCUAUCGUCAUACCGAUCUACCAAUCCCAAUGAUGUAGAUUUUGACUCAUCUUCUUACUGUCUGGACAACGCUGAAGUUGAUAUGAUGAG